rnacentral:rRNA from 1 species
AGAGUUGAUUAUGGCUCAGGACGAACGCUGGCGGCGUGCCUAAUACAUGCAAGUGGAACGCUGAGGACUGGUGCUUGCACUGGUCUAAGGAGUUGCGAACGGGUGAGUAACGCGUAGGUAACCUACCUCAUAGCGGGGGAUAACUAUUGGAAACGAUAGCUAAUACCGCAUGACAAUAGGGUACACAUGUACCCUAUUUAAAAGGGGCAAAUGCUUCACUAUGAGAUGGACCUGCGUUGUAUUAGCUAGUUGGUAAGGUAACGGCUUACCAAGGCGACGAUACAUAGCCGACCUGAGAGGGUGAUCGGCCACACUGGGACUGAGACACGGCCCAGACUCCUACGGGAGGCAGCAGUAGGGAAUCUUCGGCAAUGGGGGGAACCCUGACCGAGCAACGCCGCGUGAGUGAAGAAGGUUUUCGGAUCGUAAAGCUCUGUUGUUAGAGAAGAACGGUAAUGGGAGUGGAAAAUCCAUUACAUGACGGUAACUAACCAGAAAGGGACGGCUAACUACGUGCCAGCCGCCGC